CCAUGAUGUCAGGUGAGGCUCUGCCUCAUCUGCCUCCCCUGACUUCACAACUUGCCGCGCUCCGGUUGCUACUUGCUAUGUGCAGUGACUCUGUCUUAAAGCCAA